GGGAAGUAGGAGGGAGAAGUAUGGAGGGUACAGGGAGGGGUUGGUCAUGAGUUAUAGAAUUGGUAAGGUGUAUUCAUUAAUGGAUGGAUGUUUGAAAAAGGAUGCUGCCUUCUUGAUAUUAUACAUGAGUGUGAAUGAAGGAUAUAAGCAGAGGUAGUGGCAGUAAUGAAUAGGGAGGGGGUAGUACACAGUGGUGGUAUAGGAG